rnacentral:rRNA from 1 species
UACGUAGGGACCAAGCGUUGUUCGGAUUUACUGGGCGUAAAGAGCUCGUAGGCGGUCUGUCGCGUCUGCUGUGAAAACUCGGGGCUUAACCCCGGGCCUGCAGUGGGUACGGGCAGACUAGAGUGCGGUAGGGGAGACUGGAAUUCCUGGUGUAGCGGUGGAAUGCGCAGAUAUCAGGAGGAACACCGGUGGCGAAGGCGGGUCUCUGGGCCGUUACUGACGCUGAGGAGCGAAAGCGUGGGGAGCGAACAGG